GAUAAGCACUCGGUAGCUGGAUAUAUCGCGACCAUAUUAGUCACCGCCUUUUCUCCCUUUCUUCUCUCAUUUUCUGCCUCACACCGCCGCCGCCGCGGCCGCCGCAAAACUAUCUUCCCCGCCUCUCCACGCUUGUUGACGGUGCAGAAGCGUUGAGAAUCUCACUCGGAUCAGGCGCCUAGGCCUCACAUUCGCACAGUUCCAUUUCCGAGCUGCGAUGGCCGGGGGAUAUAGGGCGGACGACGACUACGAUUAUCUCUUCAAGCUGGUGCUGAUCGGCGAUUCCGGCGUCGGUAAAUCGAAUCUGCUGUCCCGAUUUACGCGGAACGAGUUCAACCUCGAGUCAAAGUCCACCAUAGGCGUCGAAUUCGCCACGCGGAGCAUUCGCGUCGACGAUAAGAUUAUCAAGGCUCAGAUUUGGGAUACCGCUGGCCAGGAACGAUACCGUGCAAUCACGAGUGCCUACUACCGGGGGGCUGUUGGGGCGUUGCUUGUCUAUGACGUCACUCGGCACAUCACGUUUGAGAAUGUUGAGAGAUGGUUGAAGGAGCUUCGUGAUCACACGGACCAGAACAUCGUGAUCAUGCUCGUGGGAAACAAGGCAGAUCUGCGCCACCUGCGCGCUGUCUCCACUGAGGACGCCACUGCCUUUGCCGAGAGGGAAAAUACCUAUUUCAUGGAGACGUCCGCCCUCGAGUCUCUGAAUGUUGAGAACGCUUUCACAGAGGCGCUAACCCAAAUAUACCAUGUAGUUAGUCGCAAAGCACUUGAUAUCGGGGACGAUCCUUCCGCUUUGCCCAAGGGACAAACCAUAAACAUUGGGGACGACGUCUCAGCCGUGAAAAAGACAGCGAUAUGAUUUAAAGGAGGAAUAUAGUGUGAAACUACAGAGGUAGAGAGUAGAAGAGCCAUCAUCAAAUACAGCCAACACAUUAUGGUCAAUUCGAGAGUUCGAAAGAGGGUGAUGGCGCAGGCGUUCAUCCAAUUUUUACAAGAGAACAAACAAAUCAAAGAGUCUGUACAGUUUAAGAUGGCGAAUGAGGGUAAGCGUUCCGGGUUCAAGGCCGUUGAUUUGCAGACGGGACAAGUGUUCUUCGUGAGCAGCCACUUUUUUAUGCACUCUCUGUGGUAUUCAUGUCCACAGUCCACACCUCCGAUUUCCUCCCCAUCCUCGUAUUCCGUCUACAUAAAUUCUUACUGUCAUUCGAUAUUAGGGAGCUAAUUGAACACACAGGUUUAAAAAUGAUUAUGUACCUGGCAUAUGACACACAAA